UGGUCUCUCUAUACAAGGUACUAACAUAACUCUCUCUCUCUCUCUCAACUAUAACAAAAGGAGAGUGAACUACCAAAAUGCAAAAGAAACGCUCCUUGCUAGCUAGCUAAGCGAUCCCCUUGCCGCGGUCCCGUGCCUCCACCGGUGUAGAGGGCUCUGAAAUAAAACCAUAGAAACGGGGGCGUGAGAACUAUUAAAAAUAGUUCCUAGUGGGCAAUUACUGACUUCAGUGAAAUGCGCCACUAGGCCCAAAACUGAACAAAAGAGGGUAAGUACGAGUAUAAUCAAAAGAAAUAGCACAACUAAACAUAAGUACUUACUAUACCAUGAUGUCUCAACUAAGCAUGAAUUUGCGUAAUUAAUAAAGCUACUAUAACAUGAAUGUACAUGAAUGUGACUAGCAUGUAUAAGCAUGAAUAUGCAACCAACUGAAUGUCCACAAUGUAGAUAGUAAAAUGUCAUUGUUGACUAUUCUAGUCAAAGUUCAAAAUGGCAUGUUCUGUCACUAAGUUCCAAUUAUGUAAGACCCACCCGUAGGCUGCCUGGUCUGCGCCGUGCCUAAUGGCCCCGUGGUAGUCAACAUCCCCACUCUAGGAAUGAGCCUCC
rnacentral:lncRNA from 1 species